rnacentral:tRNA from 1 species
GCGGAUGUAGCUCAGUUGGUAGAGCGCAACCUUGCCAAGGUUGAGGUCGCGAGUUCGAAUCUCGUCAUCCGCUCCA